CGUCGCCACCGCCACCACCGCCACCGCCACCGAUACUGGUGUAUUGAUUUGGAAAGGGGGAAGCUGGACUCGCUGGAAUGAAUUGGGGAAAUUAGGGUUGAGAGUGGCUGUAAGUGAAACGGAAAGGAAGUUGUUAAGAAAUUUAAGAGGUUCUUACUUCUUAGCCAUUUAACAAAAUUAAGUGGACAUGAAAGAAUGUAGCUAUCUUUCUGAUUGACUCUACAGAAGUUGCAAUAUACAGGCUUUUUAUCUUGGAAGUAAAUGUUCCCAAUCAAAUA